rnacentral:rRNA from 1 species
UGCAAGUCGUGCGAUACCUCGAGCGAGUCUUACGACAAGCUCAAGGUAGAGCGGCGGACGGGUGAGUAACACGUGAGUAGCUGUCCUAAGGAGGGGGAUAACGCCUGGAAACGGGUGCUAAAACCCCAUAUGCCUCGCAAGAGGUGAAAAUGUAUUACUACAGCCUUAGGGUGUGCUCGCGGCCUAUCAGCUUGUUGGUGAGGUAACGGCUCACCAAGGCUAAGACGGGUAGCCGGCCUGAGAGGGUGUACGGCCACACUGGAAUUGAGAUACGGUCCAGACUCCUACGGGAGGCAGCAGUGGGGAAUCUUGGGCAAUGGGCGAAAGCCUGACCCAGCGACGCCGCGUUGGGGAUGAAGCCCUUCGGGGUGUAAACCCAUGUUGUAGGGGACGAAGAAAGUGACGGUACCCUACGAGGAAGCCCCGGCUAACUACGUGCCAGCAGCCGCGGUAAGACGUAGGGGGCAAGCGUUGUCCGGAAUUACUGGGCGUAAAGGGCACGCAGGCGGUGCGCCAAGUCGAGGGUGUAAAGUUACGGCUCAACCGUGACAUUGCAAUCGAUACUGGCGCGCUGGAGUGCGGGAGAGGGAAGUGGAAUUCCCGGUGUAGCGGUGAAAUGCGUAGAUAUCGGGAGGAACGCCAGUGG